GUGGGGAAUAUUGGACAAUGGGCGAAAGCCUGAUCCAGCCAUGCCGCGUGUGUGAAGAAGGCCCUAGGGUUGUAAAGCUCUUUCAGCUGGGAAGAUAAUGACGGUACCUACAGAAGAAGCCCCGGCUAACUUCGUGCCAGCAGCCGCGGUAAUACGAAGGGGGCUAGCGUUGUUCGGAUUUACUGGGCGUAAAGUGCACGUAGGCGGAUUGGUCAGUUAGAGGUGAAAUCCUGGAGCUCAACUCCAGAACUGCCUUUAAUACUGCCAGUCUAGAGUCCAGAAGAGGUGAGUGGAACUCCUAGUGUAGAGGUGGAAUUCGUAGAUAUUAGGAAGAACACCAGUGGCGAAGGCGGCUCACUGGUCUGGUACUGACGCUGAGGUGCGAAAGCGUGGGGAGCAAACAGGAUUAGAAACCCGGGUAGUCC
rnacentral:rRNA from 1 species